CCUCAAACUAAACAAAGUUUAUUUUACGAUUUUCUUUAGGAAAAAAUCACUAUGAAGUCUUAAUCACUAAAUAAUACAGUAAACAUAGAACUUGCAUAGAAAUGAUAUGUCUCUUAAAACUUAAUUAAUGUAUUGUAUUUAAUUUUAAUAGAAUUUUGCUUUUUAAUUUGAGUGGCAUCUAAAUUAUUAUGACUUUGACAUUAACUAGUACGUAAGUAGUUAGAAAUGUGUAUUUGAUUUAGAAAUAUCCCUAUCUUAGUUAUAGAAACGGAAUGCUUUUUUAUUAACGAUUAAUAAGAUUUGAAUUUGUUAAUUUCUGUAGGACUACAAUUCAACCACAAGCUCCUCAAAACCGUCGUCAGUUAAAACAAAAACUACAGUCGUUCAAAAUAAUACAACGACCACUCAUCAAGAAAAAACUGUCACCACAAAAACCCCUGAAAAAACCGAAAACGAUUCCAACAGGGCUUCAACUAUAACGAAUGGAACGCCUAGCAAAAAUGAACCCAAUCCAUUUGAAGAA